UACGUAGGGUGCGAGCGUUGCCCGGAUUUAUUGGGCGUAAAGGGCGCGUAGGCGGCCACGCACGUCCGUUGUGAAAUCGCCCGGCUCAACUGGGCGGGGUCAGCGGAUACGGUGUGGCUCGAGCAAGCUAGGGGGCAAUGGAAUUCCCGGUGUAGUGGUGGAAUGCGUAGAUAUCGGGAGGAACACCAGUGGCGAAGGCGGUUGCCUGGAGCUUUGCUGACGGCUGAGGCGCGAAAGCUGGGGGAGCAAACAGGGAU
rnacentral:rRNA from 1 species